CCAUGUCAAACUAACCAAAUGAGCUCUAUUUAUAGGGUUUUACACCCAGUACCUAAAGGGAAAGCUCCUCAGUGAAGACUUGAACUUGACGUCCUUGCCUUAUCAAAAAAUAAAGUCUGCUUUUUAAAAUUAUGGUGCAGUGGUUCUCAAUCCCGGCAGCUUUAGCUAGCCUGGGGUGGCACCUGGGUGGAGACCAGAUAUCAAUAUAUUUUUUAAACCCCUCCAAGUUUUCAUGUGCAGUGAAGAUUGGAUUUCCAAGGCAGGACUCAGCCUCUGCCUGUUGACCUAGCAGUUCAGGUUCUCAGUCACCAAAUACUGGAACAGAAAUUUUGCUUCCCAUUUUGCAGAUAAGAAGAAAAGCCAAAUUGGAGAAAAAUAAAAUUGAGGGUGUAUCCAUGCCAAUAUACCAACACUGCAGGUAAAUGUCUAUCUAACGUCCAUCACUUCAGUGACACUACACUCUGGAAAUCUCUCAAACUAACUGUAUCUUCUAUUUUUCCUUUGAGGGAUGCUCUGCUUGCCCCUGCCCUUUAAGAAGGGGUGUUUCUCCAAGCUCCUUUCCUUGGCCACCUUCUUUUUAUUUUUUUUCUACUACUGUGUGCGUGUGUGUGUGUGUGAGAGAGAGAGCGAUUUCAUCCACUCUCAGAACUUAGCCAUAAUCUUUAAGUAUAGAUUCAACACAUCUUUAUGCCUUGCCCACUUUUCUGUCUUCUGAAUAGUUCUAUUUUAAAGGAAUGCUGGUUCCUUAAACUGGGCAUUCAGAGAACUGAAGACUAGUCUCCAUGGCACUGAUGUUCUAGUUUCUGUUUAAAUCACCCUUUCCUCAAACAUCUUACUGUCUCACUGUUGGUCUUCAUUCAGUAAUCCUCAUCAUGAUCAUUCCCAUAGAUUCUGCCUUCCUGGCCUUCCUGCUUUAUGCACUUGUAUUCCUCUGUCCAUCUCCCCAGUUCCCUUGCUUCAUACCAGGACCUCACCACCUGUCACUGGAAUCCUGCAGUGGGGUCAGGUAGGUGUGAUAGAGUAUAAAGAAAAU
rnacentral:lncRNA from 1 species